ensembl:lncRNA
GGAGGUUCCUACUGUAAUGCUCUCGUUGUUUCAAUGAUAAGUAUUUUUCUAUCUGCUCCCGUCACUAUUCUACCACUCUACCAUUAAAAACAAAAUAUGUUACUGACGUUAUUUCUCAAAUCCAGUCAUUUUACUCAAUAACGUGAAGAGGGGAAGAUUCUGAGCCCUGUUAUUGUGAUGUACUUCAAGCGCCAAACUUGACAGAGAUUCAUAUUUUCUGUUCUGCCAUCAGGCAUGUUGGAGAAGCCAUCUCACAGGUGGUAAUCAAAUAACGUGUUGUUAGUUACAUCCAUUCCUCUUGUUCAAGAAUUUUAACACUAUCAGCCAUUUCAAGGUCUACUCGGGGAGAAGUGUGCUUUUCUUUAUACCAAGAGUUUAACUUGUGAAGGAUGUUCUUUAUAAUGUGCCAUUAUUUUGUUAAAUGUUUUAUCAAAAAACAAAACAAAACAGAAAAAAAAAAAACAACCAACCCAAAAUGCUUCAUGAUAUCACAACUAAGAAGGGUUCGGUCCCUUCAUGUACAGGACAUUGCAUUUUAAAAAAAAGCAGUUGAUUCGCUCAGUACGGUUGCUUAAUAGUGCUGGUGGAGUUUACUUUGUAAUAGCAGCUGUGCCAAUGUCUUUAAAAUGGGAGCUCUCUCAAUUCUAUCCAUGUAUUGUCCUGCCUUGCUGUAUUAUCACCCCUGAUAACUCCUUGGCCUGAAUUUCAUGUCUGCUGCUUGGUGACUCGGGUGAACCUGUUUAACAAUGUUCUAUUUCUGUCUGCAUGCUGAUAUUUUAGGAAACUGUGCCCAUUUAGGGAGGAGCACUGAACCAGAGACAAACAGUACGGGAGAUAAUUCCUGUCCGGAGUGCCCUAGAACCGGCAGCACAUGUCAUGGACAACUUCACUGUUUUUAAAGCAUCUUGUUUGCUGACCCAUUCAUGCCCUUGUCUCGACUAAAGUAGAAUUCCCUGGCACUGUAGGCUGUUAAAUAGAGAAAGAGGUUUGUGUCGAGCACUCACACCGGGGACAGGCAUUCCCUUUAAUAGUUUCCUGUUAAGCCUAGUACCCUACGCAUAGUAAUUAAUGCAGGUUUCAGAACAGUGAUUAUAGUUGAUUUCAGUCUGAACAUAAAGAUCAAAGCUUCUUUGCCCUCAUGUGUAAUUAGAAAAUGCAAAUACCAUCUUUGUAUUUCCACAAUUAAAUCAGCUACUAAUAAAUGAUCAAUUGAUCAUGACUACCUCCCAGAUAAAAUCAGAUAUGUUCAGCGGAAUGUUUGAAUUCUGCUGCCAGUAAUUAUUCAGUCUUUUGUCCAUUUAUUUUGCCAUCAGAGAGCUGGAAGCACAAGCGGUCCAUGCUAAUGAUGCAUGUUUGAGCUGAACUCCAGGACCGUCUGUGCUAGCCCUGCAAUGCCAGUAGGCUUUGUUUUCUCUUCUGCUUCAUUUGUUUGUGGGUUUAUACUACCCGAGUUCCCCAGUCCCCGUCACUCUUUGUGUUCGGGCUCAACUCCCCAUUGGGAAAAGUUUUUUUCUUUUUUUUUUUUCAAAUUUCUCCUUUUUUUCUUCUUGCUUCGGGUGGGGUGAAUAAAGGUCUGAAGAAUUGCAGAAAAAAACUUUUAUAUUUCAGUGUUUAUGCUUAGAGGAAAAGCUAAACGCACAUCUCCAAGGGGACAGGAAAAGCAGGGGAGAAGAGAAGGGUAGACAGAGAUGCUGUUUAAUAGGGAGAACAUAGAGGGACAAAUGGGAAUGAGCCCAUUUUUAAACAUCUGAUAUUUCUUCGAAGCAUAGACUGUGUUGGUGUACAAGUGAUCAUGAAGUCAACUUGAUGAAUGCAGCUGACAUGUUCAAAGUGAACCAAAUACCCGUGGCAAAGGAGCACUGCCAGUGUCACAGAGAUGGG